AGUAAAAGUCGUAACAGAGGUCUCCGUUGGUGAACCAGCGGAGGGAUCAUUACAGAGUUAUCCAACUCCCAAACCCAUGCGAACUUAUCUCUUUGUUGCCUCGGCGCAAGCUACCCGGGACCUCGCGCCCCGGGCGGCCCGCCGGCGGACAAACCAAAACUCUUGUUAUCUUAGUUGAUUAUCUGAGUGUCUUAUUUAAUAAGUCAAAACUUUCAACAACGGAUCUCUUGGUUCUGGCAUCGAUGAAGAACGCAGCGAAAUGCGAUAAGUAAUGUGAAUUGCAGAAUUCAGUGAAUCAUCGAAUCUUUGAACGCACAUUGCGCCCAUUAGUAUUCUAGUGGGCAUGCCUGUUCGAGCGUCAUUUCAACCCCUAAGCACAGCUUAUUGUUGGGAACCUACGGCUUCGUAGUUCCUCAAAGACAUUGGCGGAGUGGCAGUGGUCCUCUGAGCGUAGUAAUCUUUUAUCUCGCUUCUGUUAGGUGCUGCCCCCCCGGCCGUAAAACCCCCAAUUUUUUCUGGUUGACCUCGGAUCAGGUAGGAAUACCCGCUGAACUUAAGCAUAUCAAUAAGCGGAGGA
rnacentral:rRNA from 1 species